UACGGAGGGGGCUAGCGUUGUUCGGAAUUACUGGGCGUAAAGCGUGCGCAGGCGGUUUUUCAAGACAGAUGUGAAAUCCCCGGGCUUAACCUGGGAAUGGCAUUUGUGACUGGAAGGCUAGAGUGUGUCAGAGGGGGGUAGAAUUCCACGUGUAGCAGUGAAAUGCGUAGAGAUGUGGAGGAAUACCGAUGGCGAAGGCAGCCCCCUGGGAUAACACUGACGCUCAUGCACGAAAGCGUGGGGAGCAAACAGG
rnacentral:rRNA from 1 species